UGGAUAAAAGGGACAAUAAUUUCUACCUUUACAAUUAAACAAAUUUAUUUUUGUUGUACCUUGGUGCAAUUAAAACACCUUCUUAACUUUGAAGUCAAGACUUUGAAUAAUAAAAGUAAUGAGACUAGGGUAUCUUAAAUGAUUUAGGAGGAGAUAUCAAAUUCAUUGAUCUUUGCUAAUGCCUUAUCUUUGUGCAUUUAACAGGAAGUAAAUGAAAAGUAGUACCGGUAGUAUAGGUUGUUAUAUAUACACUGUCACUGUCUUCUCUUGAACUGAGACAAUUCAAACACCACUUUUCACUUUAUUAUUUUUUUUAUUAUACUACAUUUAUACAGCAUUUUUUUUUCAUGCACGUGUACACGUUCAAAAGCACUUGAAAUCAUCAGGCCCCAGCAAAACCCCUAUGAUUAUCAUAAAUGUAUGUAUUGUUCUUAGGUUAAGUAACUCGAACAAAGUUUGCUGAUCCCAUUGACUUUGAGCAUACAAAGUCUGACUAAUAUUUGAAAAAUGUCCAGAAAUAAAAUUACAAAAGGAGGCUUUAUAUUUUGUCAGAUUGUGACCUCUUCUUGAAUACUAAAAAAUACAGUGAAGCAAUUUCUGCUUUCACAAAAUACCAAUGCGGGCACCAUCAAUUUCAAAUAAACUAUAUACCUAUUAGGUAAAAUGACGUUUUUGAAUUUAUCCGUAGAAUGAAAUUUCUGAAUUACCCUCUUUAUUAUUUUUCUUUAUCAGAAGGCUAUCCCAUACAGAUUGUAUUGAUAAUUGAUCAGAAAAAGAGAGAAGAUAUGAAAAAAUAUGACAUUGAAUGAACUGAUGAAAAAAAGAGUUAGCAUGCAGACAUCAAUGAUGUAAAUGAUGAGUAAUCGGAAAGGUUUGAAGUGUUUCUGACAUGACAGCUACUUGAGCAUGAAGGUCAGAGAGUAAUGCCUGCAUAGAAACAACAAUUGUCCGCAAUCUUUUGCUUGCAUACGUUACCACUUAGUGAUGUUGAGUAGAACUUUGACAAAACACUUGCAGCAUAGAGGUUACCAGUAUAUUUUCAUUUUAAGGCUGUAACAGAAAAUGAAACUGAAAUUGGAAAAAGGUCUUCUUUCUAACUGCUACAGGUCCUGAUAGUAACAGAAUCUGUCUCGACUUUUUUCACAGAAUAUGGAACUGACACAUCCGCAGUGACAGUUAACAAUGCUUGCGUCAACAGUCUAAGACUAGGAAACAGAACAAAGAAAGCUCAGAGAUUAUAAUGGAUCCUGUACAAACACUAAAGAAAUGCUGAAAGAUGUUUAUAAACUAUCUAUCCAUCCAGAAGACAAAAUAGCUGCUAUUGCAGAACUGGAAUCUAUUGCAAGGAAGGUUAAUGCUGAGGCUUGAUUGUGAGUCCAGUGGGAUCUGAACUGGUGACCUCAGGUUUCAGCAGGUAUGAGGAAGCUCCAGAGGGGUCUGAACUGGCAAUCUCAGGUUUGGGCAGAUAAGAGAAGGCUAUGAUCCGGAUCCCUUUGGGACUGAACUGGAUUAUGAGAGAAAAUGCUACUUUCUCCACAAGUACCCAACAACUUCCUUCAUUUAAUUAGUUGAGAGAAACAAACAUCUUUGGUCAAAUUGAUGUCGUUGUAGUUUGGAGCUUUUCCACACCAAGGAAUCAUCGGAAGAGGGUCAUUGAAUGAAAAUGCUUUAGAUAAUACAGUUAUUAUAUUAUAGUGAAAUAUGUUAACCCUUAUCAUGCUGGACAUGAUUGAUUCAGCCUUUGCGACCAAUGUAGAUCUUGAUCAGCCUGAUCAAUCUGCACUGUUCACCAUUCAGUCAGUACCUUUUGGGUAAACACCCCUUUUAACAGUUAAAGGUAUUGUCCAAUUUGGAAGAUGGACGAUUUCAUCUAGGUAUGGGUUAAGACCCUUUGGAGAAAAAUGAAUAAAUCAGAGACAAAAAAUGUGAGAGAAGCAAAGGUUUCAGAUUUUUCUGCAUGUUAAAUUAUUAGAUAUCUUAUACUUAUUUGAUAAGGUUGUUCAGAAACUGUAUUAUCAUUAAAUUAAGGUGUUUAAAUAUGAAUAAGAAUUCUAAGGAAUUUCUUUCUAAGGAGAAUUUAGUUAAGGGGAAAAAUGCCUUACUUAAACUAAGGUGCUUUAUGAAUACCGACCCAAAUGUCCAGAUAUAUGCUUUAAAUAGAAAGUUAAUUCAUUGAAAUUAAUUGGCAGUGGAUGACACGGCCAUCAUUUCAUAUCAGCCUAUUCAGUUGUGGACCAAUAUUGUUUAAAAUAUUGGCCCAGUAUCAGUUUUUCAAGGCAACAUACUGCCAAUCCCAUAAUUUUGUUUCUGAUGUAAAAAUCACAUAAUUAUUGUCUCGGUAUUAAUUAAAUAAUCAGUGAUGGCUGAAUUUAAAACUGUAUUAAUUAUUACUAAUUUAUUUGUUUACAAAUAUAUUUGUGUUUUAACAAGGUUGAGUUUAACACUAUUUCUUGGUUCAGUAUAUUUGUUUUUUAAGUUUGAAACUGUUUUUUUUAUUUCAAUACAAAGCAUCCGCGCAGUCUGGCCAGGAUCUAUGCUGUUCGCUUUCAAAGCCUAUAGCAAUUAAGAGAAAUCAUUAGCGAACAGCAUGGAUCCUGACCAGACUGCAAGGAUGCGCAGGCUGGUCUGGAUCCAUGCUGGUCGCAAAGCCACUAUGUGGGUUUUCUCAUGCCAUGGUUCAUAUAUUUUUAUUUCAAUAUAUUUCUGUUAUAAGUCCUAGAAGUCAUUAUUGAAACUUGUACCGAAAUUCAACCCUGAUUUUUUAACGCACCUGAGCACGUAGUGCUCAAGGUGAGCUUUUGUGAUCGCCCUGUGUCCGUCAUCUGUCAGUGUCCAUUGGCGUCAACAAUUUGACUGUUAACACUCUAGAGGUCAUAAUUUUAGCCUAAUCUUAAUGAAACUUAGUCUGAAUGUUACCCUCAAUAAAAUCUUGGACAGUUCGAUAUUUGGUCAUCUUGGGUCAAAAACUAGGUCACCAGGUCAAAUCAGAGGAAAAGCUUGUUAACACUCUAGAGGUCACAAUUUUGGCCCAAUCUUAAUUAAACUUGGUCAGAAUAUUACCCUUAAUAAAAUCUUGUACGAGUUCGAUAUUGGGUCAUCUGGGGUCAAAAACUAGGUCACCAGGUCAAAUCAAAGGAAAAGCUUGUUAACACUCUAGAGGUCACAAUUUUGGCCCAAUCUUAAUGAAACUUGGUCAGAAUAUAACCUUAAUAAAAUCUUGUACGAGUUUGAUAUUGGGUCAUCUGGGGUCAAAAACUAGGUCACCAGGUCAAAUCAGAGGAAAAGCAUGUUAACACUGUAGAGGCCAUAUUUAUGUCUAUAUCUUCAUGAAACAUGGUCAGAAUGUUAAUCAUGAUGAUCUCAACAUCCGGUUUGACUCUGGGUCAUGUGGGGUCAAAAACUAGGUCGCCAGGUCAAAUCAAAGGAAAAGCUAGUUAACACUCUAGAGGCCACAUUGAUUACCGUGCCUUAAUGAAACUUAGUCAGAAUGUUGAUCUUGAUGAUCUAUAGUUCAAGUUCAAAUCUGGGUCAGAUGGGGUCAAAAACUAGGUCACCAGGUCAAAUCAAAGGAAAAGCUUGUUAACACUCUAGAGGCCAUAUUUAUGACUGUAUCUUCAUGAAACUUAGUCAGAAUGUUAAUCUUGAUGAUCUGGGUCAUGUGGGGUCAAAAACUAGGUCACCAGGUCAAAUCAGAGAAAAGCUUGUUAACACCCUAGAGGCAGUAUUUAUGACCAUAUCCUAAUGAAACUAUCUUGAUGAUCUUUAGGUCAAUAGGUCAGGUGAGCGAUACAGGGCCUUCAUGGCCCUCUUGUUUUAUCAUGAUUAUUUAAUCACAUGGUCAGGCUACACUGUGUAUGAAUAAUAUUCUUUUUUAGUAGACAAAACUUUCCUGUUUUGAAAUACUUGUGUUAGUUUCAUAUGAAUUUCACAAGUACAGUUAAUUAAAAGAUACUGUAGAAUCAUUUCAUUCCGUUGGCACGGAAUUUCGGACAAAAUAGCUAUUUCACUGGUAAAUUGGUUCAUGGAUUUUAAAUUUUGAAUAUGAAACAAAUGAGAAUUUUACUUAUUUGUUUGGAUUUUAUUUUGUGGAUUUGCCCAACCAUGAAAUCCACAAAAAUAAGUCCUCCAAGAUUAUAAAUUAACUUUUAGUCUGCUGGCAGCAAGUGAUUUGCCUUUGUGACCGGUGCAGAGCAUGAUUAGCCUGCACUUCAGCCUGUUUGCUAUUCAGCAAGUAAAUUUUCAGUGAACACCCCAUUGAAUAAUAAAUGGUAUAGCCCAACUUGAAUGAUGGAGCAGUCCAUUUUAGAAAUUUGGCAGGGUAAAGGUUAAUGAUUUCUCAGUCUCAAUAAGAACUAAACCUUUUUACCCCGCUAAAUUUCUAUAAUGGACUAGUCCAUCAUUCAAUUGAGCAAUACCAUUUAUUAUUGGAAAGGGUGCAUGGAUGCAAAGGCAGAAUCACUAGCCGGCAGCAGUAGAGGUUAAAGAUACAUUAGACCAAAGUUCAUAUUUAUAAAUAUGGACAAUAACUUCAUGGUAUCUAUGUAAACAUUAAAUCAUUAUAAUAACAUGUUUGUUUGUAUAAACAGCACUGUUUGUUCGUUUGAAAUAGUACAUGCAUGAUACAUGCAUACUUUUAAUUAUCACAUUAUGAUAUUAUAAUACAACUAAAAUAACUGGAAGUUUUUUUUUAAUGAAUGACUGUUAAACAUGUCAUUUAAUUGUGAAUGUAGCUGUACAAACACAGUGAGUUUAUAUAUAUUAUUGAAUUAAACUCUGAGUCAUUUAAUUACGGUUUUCUUCUUUUAAAGUUAGUAUCUGAAAAUAAACUAUUAUUGAAAUAGAUGCAUUGAAUUCCUUUAAAAUUACAAAUUCAAUUACAAAUUCAGCUGUGUGCUUCUUUUUUUGUAUUUUACUUCCGUUUUUAUUUCACAAGUUUGUAAACAUGAUAUUCAUUGGCAGCUUUUGAAAACACGAAGCAUAUAAUAAUAAUUAAUUAAUGAUUUUCAUGAAUUCUUGGUAGAAUCAUUUUCACGCCAUUUUAAAGUAAAAUUUCUAGAUUUACUUGCCUUGUAUUCAUGAGAAUGCAAAUAUCCGAAUUUCAUAUCCUUUCCAAUGUGAGCACAUGGUCAAAUUUCAUUUCACCCCCAUCUCCAUUUUAAUCCAUAGGCUACCUGUCGUUUUUAUGAGAUUUCGAAAAAUCAGAUAAAAAUCUCGGUAUACAAAUUUGACUUAAGAGUUUUAACAGUAUUUUAAUGAUAACUUAACAGCGUUUAUGACAGUAGGUAUAAUAUUAUAGUGCACCUGUUUAUUUGACUUGCUCAAGUUUUAUUGCUCUAAUUUUGCUCAAUUUUAAGAUAACAAAUGUAAGAUUUUGAAUUUUCUGCUGUUGAAGGAUUGGCUUCCUGUGUCUUUAUGCAAAUUGAUCAUGUGAUAUCGCAUAAAUUUCUUUUUUUUUUAUUACAAUACUGUUCAAAAAGUGAGUUAAUUUUAAUACUCGGCUCAUGAGUUUGAAUACAACUGUUUAUCUGUUUAUUUUGAAUUUUGCAUAAUAGUUGAACUAAAAGUAAAAGAUUAAAUGAAAUAUUCUUUCUGAAUUAAAUGUAGGCAAACAGACAAGUUUAAUUUAAUUUCUAGAUUUUUCUAAAAAAAAGCAUGAAUUUAAAAUUAGUUGCUUACAAAAUUUUGUUAUGUAAGGAUUUAAAGAAAUGAAACAUAAUUAAUUAUUAUGCAAAAAAACAACAACAACAAAAAAAAAAACAAAAAAACCCCACAAAAUCUUCUUUUGUGCAAAUCGUGAAAUAUAAAUCAUGAAAUAUAACAAAUACUUUGCACUAGUUUAUGAGUAAAUUUUCAAGACAAUCCAUGAAAAUGCAGAAGAAAAAAGUCCCCAUCUUCUAGUGUUUGCAAAAGAGUCCGUAAUGGUUUAGAUGUAAUAUUAUUUCAGUUAUCAUACCGCUGAACAAAUUGGAAGGCUUUGUUAUGACAUGAUUCAAACAAGAGGUCUAUGAAGCCCCUGUAUCGCUCACCUGACCUAUUGACCUAAAGAUCAUCAAGAUUAACAUUCUGACCAAGUUUCAUUAAGAUAUGGUUAUAAAUGUGGCCUCUAAAGUGUUAAAUAGAUAUUCCUUUAAUUUGACCCGGUGACCUUGUUUUUGACCCCACAUGACCGAGAUUCGAACUUGACCUAAAGUAUCACCAAGAUUAACAUUCUAAGUUUAAUGAAAAUACAGUCAUAAAUGUGGCCUCUAGAGUGUUAACAAGCUUUUCCUUUGAAUUGACCUAGUGACCUAGUUCUUGACCACUCUUGACCCAGAUUUUAACCUGACCUAUAGAUAAUCCAGCUUAAUGUUCUGACCAAGUUUCAUUAAGAUAUGGUCAUAAAUGUGGCCUCUACAGCGUAAACUAGCUUUUCCUUUGAUUUAACCCUGUGACCUUGUUUUUGACCCCACAUGACCUAGAUUGGAACUUGACCUAAAUAUCAUCAAGAUUAACAUUCUAGCUAAGUUCCAUGAAGAUCCAGUCAUAAAUAUGGCCUCUAGAGUGUUAACAAGCUUUUCUUUUGAAGUGACCUAGUUUUUGACCCCACCUGACCAAGAUAUGAAUUUGACCUAUAGAUAAUCAAGAUGAGCAUUCUGACUAAGUUUCAUGAAGAUAGAGUCAUAAAUGUGGCCGCUAUAGUGUUAACAAGUUUUUCCUUUAAUUUGACCUGGUGACCUAGUUUUUGACCCCGGAUGACCCAAUAUCAAACUCAUCCAAGACUUUAUUGUGGGUGACAUUCUGACCAAGUUUUAUUAAGACUGAGCGCAAAUUGUGACCUCAGAGUGUUACCAAGCCUUUCCUUUGAUUUGACCUUGUGACCUAGUUUUUUACCCAAGAUGACCGAAUAUCAAACUCAUUCUAAAUUUUAUUUAGGUUGACAUUCUGACCCAAGUUUCAUUAAGGUUUAGCAGUAUAUCACAAAACAGAUUUUUUAGUAAAUAAACAGCAUUUUGACAAACAACUUAUCUGUCCAGUACAUGUUUUACUGUUCUUUCCCACAGAGUUGGAUACUUAAAAUAUUCUUAAUGAGUUGUCCCCCUUUAAAUAAGAAUACCAUUUGUAAAGAAAUAAAUGUAAACACUUGUCAAAACCGAUUUUUACCUGGUUGUGUAAAGUUUAAACACUCGCACAAUGUUGCAAAUGCAUCAAAACGAAGACAUGUAACAGCUUUUAUAAAAUGGUGAGUUUUUAAAACCGCUGAACUGUCCAGAAGUGUGGCCCCUUCAUGCAGUCCCUUUCCGGAAUUCAAUACAUAUAUAAGUAAAUUGACAAUGGUUUUGUAGAGUAAUAUAAAUGUUUUAUAUGCUGUUAAAUUUUCAUGUAAAACAAUGCUUUCUUUCUACGAUUUGAUGACGUUCAAACUUUUUUCUUCGAAGUAUGGACCUAUACCUUAAGAUUGAGCCAAAUAUGUGACCUCUAGAGUGUUAACAAGCUUUUCUUUUGAUUUGACCUGAUGACCUAGUUUUAACCCCAGAUGACCCAAUAUCAAACUUGUCCAAGAUUUUAUUGAGGUAACAUUCUGACCAAGUUUUAUUAAGAUUGGGCCAAAAUUGUGACCUCUAGAAUGUUAACAAGCUUUUCCUUUGAUUUGACCUGGUGACCUAGUUUUUUUACCCCAGAUGAUCCAAUAUCGAACUCGUGCAAGAUUUUAUUGAGGGUAACAUUCUGACCAAGUGUCAUUAAGAUUGGAUCACAGUUGUGUCCGCUAGGGUGUUAACAGUCAUAUUGUUGAUGCUGACGCUGGACACGGGGUGAUCACAAAAGCUCUUUGUGCUCAGGUGACAUAAAAAGGGUUUUUGUAUGGCACAGUAACUGUUGAAGGUUUUGUUAUGACAUAAUACCAACUGAAAGUUUUGAUGGGGCAUUGCACAGCAAAACGUUUUUAAUGGUUUAAUAGAUUUAAGGUAUUGUUAUGACAUUGCUUUACUGUUUCAGAAGGUUUUGUUACGACAUAGUCCAAUUUAAGGUUUUGUUUUGGAUGGGUCAAUUUAUGCCUUUUUUAUGUGACAUGGCUUAUAGGUUUUGUUUUUAAAGGCUUAUAACAUAGCUCAUAUGACAUUGCUCAGUUGAAGGUUUUGUUUUAUGUUAAAACUUUGUAAUUGGUUAUGACAUGCAAGGAGGGUUUUAUCAUGACAUGGCUCAGUUGCAGUUUUUGCUAUGGUAUAACUUUGUAAUGGGCCGGUUAUGACAUGCAGGGAGGGUUUUAUCAUGACAUGGCUAAAUUGAAGGUUUUGUUAUGGCAUCAUGCAACUGAAGAGUUUAUCAUGACAGCAUUCAACUGGAAGUUGUGUUAUGACAGCCCAAAUGAAGGUUCUUCAAAGUAAGAUUUGUUAUGGCACAGCUCAAUCUUAAGGUCAGUUAUGGUAUGUAUGUUCUGACAAAGCUCAAUUUAAGUUUUAAACAUAAUUAGACAACAAUCAAGACAUAAACAUAAGAGGAAGGAAAUAGCAGCUUCAAAAGUGAAGCACUUGAUGAUAUAUUUAUCAACUUCAAUUGUUCAAAGGAGAACAUUUUGAAAUGUGUUUUGUGUUGGAUUAUUAAAUUGAGCCACACCAUGAGAAAACCAGCAUAGAGCAUUUGCAAUCAGCAUGCACAGUCUGGUCAGGAUCCAUGCUUUCGUUAGUGGUUUCUCUAACUGCAGUACGCUUUUAAAAUGAACAGAAUGGAUCCUGCUCAGACUGUGGGGAUGCGCAGGCUUGUCUAGAUCCAUGCUCGGGUCGCAAAUGCACUAUGUUGGUUUUCAUGGUGCGGCACAAUUCAUGUAACUAUGUUCUGUGCACAUAUAUUGUAAACCUGUAUGUUUGCAUGUAUUAUACUGAAAUAAAUGCUGUUUAAACUAUUAA